CCUGCAGCCUGGGUAAAGGAGCAGGCUGCGUGGGACAAGCAGUCAUCCCAGCGUGGCUGCUGUGAGCUGCCUGUUGUACAGUGGAGCUGUUGCUCUGAUCCCAGCCGCCUGGUGAAGUUGCAGGUUUCACCAGCAGCCUCGUGUCUGAUCUCAGAGCGUAAAAACAGACUGGAGUUUGUGUCGGUUCCCAUUUCUCUUGGAAGAGCUGCCUCUACGGACAUCCUGUCAGGAGUAAUGUGUGGGCAUGUAUGUGCGUGCGCGCAAGAUGCAGUGACAUGGACCAUCUUGCAGAUCAUGUCUCAAUGGAUAACCUGGGGAACAGAAAUAGUCCAACAUCAUCCUGGAAACUAGCAGCAGUGGUACAAUAAGAAACAAAGUCGUCUAAGUUUUCCCUGUGGUUAUAUGUCCAGUUUGAAGUGCAUUGAGCUUUGCCCGAUGUGCAAGCAGUAAUAAGCGUUAUCCUCCUGUCUUUGCAUGCACUCUUGGUGGUAAGAGUUGAAAACUGCUGCAUGAAGAAACAUCUUCUAAAUGCCAUUCUGCCGUUCUGCUGGGAAGAAAUACACAGUCCCGUACGCAAAGAUUCAAUUCACUUACAGAUGGAACCUACCAUUACAGAGAGGCACCGUCAACUCAAAAUCCAAUGAAAUGCACGGACAGAUUUAAAGUUGAGUCUCCUACAACUUCUGUUGAGUGUCCCCAGCAGUCCUCGUGAAUUGUGUUUGCUUGGCUUUAAAUUCCUGUCACGUGGUAAAAUUGACAUAAACAAAAAGAGGCUUGAGUAUGGCUUAUUACGCAGAGCUGUGCUAAUUUACAAGGUGUUUGUUGAAUGAGAGAUAUCAUACCUUCUGAGUAUGGGAAGGAAAAGUGAACUGGUUAUAUGCAAAAAAAAAUAUCUAAAGAUAGACGGUAAACAGUUAUGGAAAAGAUGGGUGAUGGGAGUAGAGUGAAGCCUGGGAUCUUACCUUCAAAUUUCAGUUAAUCUAGGUCAUUUUCUGUAACAGAAGGAUAAUAUCUAAAUACAGAUAUGAUUAAGUCAGUGUGGUUCCCUACCACAAUGCGUACCACGUCCAAGUCUACAUCGACAGCAAAGAACGAGAUUAAAGGUUUCCAGUAUAUGUGGUGAAUUUCAGUCCAGGCACAACAGUAUUAUUUUUUCAGGAUUUUUUCCUCAUAAGUUGAUACAACAUUGUAAAUAGCACACUACGUAUUGUUUGGAAAGAGCUCAGGAGGCCAUCUGAUCAGAACUGUCACAGUAAUUUUAUCACCCUUCUUUCAGCAUUUUCUCAGUUUUCUCUUCUAUAUUCCUCAGCACAGAAGCAUGUUAUUUUGCUGAUUUUAUACAGAUUUGAAUGUACUCUACGUCGGCCUUGUUAAGCGAGUUUAAAAGAAAAGAACCAUUCACAUGUUCUUCUCUGGACUUUCCCAUUUAGAACUGUAACCUGAAUUUUUAUACAAGUCUGCUAUAGUCAUGUUUACUGGUCGCCUCUAGGUCUUGAUGCUUCUUGCUUAUUUGUUUCUUACAUAGGUGGCUGGGAGCAGAUAUCGCCUUUAAAAUGUAAGGAUACAGCUGUCAUGGUUUUAAAAAAGUACUGUUAACUAACAUGCCUGCGCUAAUAUUGUAUAUCCAGUAUAUAUACAAUAUAUGUGUUUAUAGAUAGUGAUGUAAGGCGCUAUACAUCAAAUUGAAAUAAGCAGCAUUGGUUCACAUAUUUUUAUGGUGAUGGAAAUGCACUUACAG